UUACAAGAGUUUCUAGUCAUGUACUAGACCAGUGCUCUCAGAUUUUAGCAUGCCUCAGAAUCACCUGGAUGGCUUGUUAAAACUGGGGUCAUCAAUCUCACCCUUCGAGUGUUUGAUUCACAAGGUGUGGAGUGGGGUCUGAGAAAUUUGAGUUGCUUGCAAGUUGACAGGUAAAGUUGCUUGCCCUGGGACCACACUUUGAGGCACACUGCUCCAGAUAAAGAAAAAUUGUGAGAGCAAAUGUGAGUCACAAAAAUAUUUCUCACACAAAAAACAUAAUAGAAUAAAAAGCAUAGUUUUUAGUUUCAUUUGUCUAUAGAAUAUGUGUACCUCAGGGAAUAAGUCAACCUGAAAGGAAUGACCGGUAGCAAUCUUAUCAAAUGAUUUUAUUAAAGUACUAUCAGCGACUCCCUUGGUGGUCCAGUGGUUAAGAAUUUGCCUUGUAGUGCAGGGGACGUGGGUUUGAUCCCUGGUCAGGGAACUAAGAUUCAAUAUGAUGCAACUAAGGCCUGAUGCAGCUGAAUAAAUAAAUAAAUAACUUUAAAUAACAGAGAAUUCCUUGGUCGGAGGAGGAAUCUUCAUGUUGGGGCCCGGUAAAUCAUUCCAUAGACAGUGGUCUCCUUCCAGGUCUGAACAUUACGUCGUUCGGUAUCUUCACACACAUCCCUCUCUUGCUCCAUUUGGAGCUCGGAUGUGGAGAGCAACUCUAAGAAGAUGCAGUCUCCCGAAAGGUGGCUCUCUUCCGAGCCUGCUGUCCAAUGCCAACAACAGGCCCACUACAUUUAGCAGAAGUAGAAGAAAAGAAAACACACAGUCCCACUCCAGGACACACCUGCAACCCACCGGACAGCCCACCAGCUUCCAAACGGUUCUUAGAAAAAUUAGGCUAUCUUUCAUUAGCUAUCUAUCAUGUGGCCUCCACGGGCUGCAGGAUAUGAGGGCCAUUUAAUUAGGCCCUGGACCACUCUCUGGUGUGAAAAGGCUCUCAAACGCUUUGAUUCCCCACUGCUUCGCAGCAGGAAGUUGUUGGCGAUAAUUGACAUAGGAUUUCCUUGUUAACCAGCAGCAGACAUGCCGGAUUAAAGCGACAGAGAUCUCGAGAAGAAAGUGAAAGAGAUAAGAAGCUCAGGAAGACUUCUGCUUAUUUGGCACUUGAGGACGGGGAGGAAACAGCAAUCACCCACUCAAGUGGCGACUCCCAGAGUGGAAGGGGCGUCCCCUUAUCAGACCCAUUUCAGCUUGGCUGAUCAAAGAUUGACUCCCCGUAAAAUCACAUAGGCCUGGGGUUUGUUAGUUUAUUAAGCGGCAGGUUUUCAGAAUUAUCACAGGUUUAAAGAUGGAUUGCAGUUUAUGUGAAGGGGGAGAGGAUUAUCGGGUUUUCAUCUUAACAAUUAUAAAAUAUCACAGCUGAAAGCUUGCUUGCAAAUGACAUAAUUUUCCACCGCCAACUAAACAGGUCAUUGUGAGGCUGCGUGUAAGCGUUCUCCACGAGGGAGGAAAUGCAGACAAAUUAACUCUGGGGAGGAAUGAAGAUGAGGGGCCUCCAAACGCCUUUUUCCAUUUCGGAAGCUGGUGCGAUCUCAUUGUCCCCUGUGCGCUUCUAUAGAUUUUCAACAGAGCUUGAAAAUAAUUGUCCUGGUGUUGAAAUCAGAAGCAUUUUAUGUCAUUCACCCUGAAGCGAGAGCAAGUAACAGCAACUAUUUCAUCAAAAGAAGAUCAGUCAUUCUGUCCGCAUCACUUGGGUCCUUUCGUGCUGACAACCUUUUGUUGUUAAGCUCUGUGACAGACUAUGACAAUAAACAGUGACUCAGUAAUCAAGUUAAUGGGGCCAAACUCUGAAGAUAAUCAUGUCAAUGUUAACGACCUAAACAUCGAACACAUCUUUUAUCCAAGAAGUUCAAGUUCCUCCAAGAGCACCAAUUCAUUAUCAUUCACAAGUGCAGAUGGAAUUGGUUGAGAAAACAACAAAAACAAAAACCUUUAAAAACAAACUGAAAGGGAAGCAGUGGGAGGAAGGAGGAAAAACUGAUUCUGGACCAGGUUUUUUUUUUAACAAAAUAACCCUUGGGGGUUGAUCUACUAUAGAAAAGAGGUGGGGGGUUUUGACUUUUUUUUUUUUCCAUUGUAAUUGUUCUGUUUGCUGCCGAAGGACUGGAGCCAAUCAGCCAACAACUCUUUGAGGCUAUCUUGAAAACGAUAAAGCAAAUAUCAUCUUUACUUUCUGCAUCCUUGACAGGAGUCUUGUUUAAGUGGGGUUUCCAGUACAAAAGUCCAGUUGUUUCUCAUCUGAGGAAUAUUUAGUGUGCAGAAGAUUGAGAUGAUCUGGGGUGUUAUGUUGCUCCUGAAUUAAAGAAAAUGGUCUGCCUGGGCAGAAGCUUAUGUU